GAUGAACGCUGGCGGCGUGCCUAAUACAUGCAAGUCGAGCGAACAGACGAGGAGCUUGCUCCUCUGACGUUAGCGGCGGACGGGUGAGUAACACGUGGAUAACCUACCUAUAAGACUGGGAUAACUUCGGGAAACCGGAGCUAAUACCGGAUAAUAUAUUGAACCGCAUGGUUCAUUAGUGAAAGACGGUUUUGCUGUCACUUAUAGAUGGAUCCGCGCCGCAUUAGCUAGUUGGUAAGGUAACGGCUUACCAAGGCAACGAUGCGUAGCCGACCUGAGAGGGUGAUCGGCCACACUGGAACUGAGACACGGUCCAGACUCCUACGGGAGGCAGCAGUAGGGAAUCUUCCGCAAUGGGCGAAAGCUUGACGGAGCAACGCCGCGUGAGUGAUGAAGGUCUUCGGAUCGUAAAACUCUGUUAUUAGGGAAGAACAAAUGUGUAAGUAACUAUGCACGUCUUGACGGUACCUAAUCAGAAAGCCACGGCUAACUACGUG
rnacentral:rRNA from 1 species